AUGAAGAAACAACGAGGAGCUUUGCUGGGGCUUCUGUGGGUCCAGGUUUGCUGGGUGCAAGGCAUGAAAGUGGAGCAGAAUCCUUCGGCCCUGAGCCUCCAGGAGGGAACCAGCUCUACUCUGAGGUGCAGCUUUUCUGCUUCCAUGAAGAAUGUGCAGUGGUUUAGACGAAAUCCUGUGGGCAGACUCAUCAAUCUAUUUUUCAUAGCUUUAGGGACAAAGCAGAAUGGAAGGUUAAACUCCACACUGAAUUCUAAGGACCUUUAUAGUACCCUGCACAUCACAGCCUCCCGACUGGAAGACUCGGCCACCUACCUCUGUGCAGUGGAGGCACAGUGCUCCCAGGCAGGAAAGGAGGCUCAGGCAGAGCCGGCUAUUCUACCAACAAGUCAGGCCAUUGCUCACUGGCUUCUGCAGGAGUACGCCAAAGCUGAUGGUGCCAUCUCAACACCCAGAACAAUUUCUAAGCACUGUCCUAAAAAUUCAUCAUCCCAGGUAGGAUGA